rnacentral:sRNA from 1 species
UCCGGCUAAAUGCUUUAUAUUUUAAGAAGAAGAAAAGUUUAAAACGCUGCAAGAAGAAAACUUUAAAAAACUUCAAGAUGCACUUAUAAGCUUGAUGGCAAGAUGUCGGUUUGCACUAUAUUAGCGGAUUCGCUAGCUUUUGGACAAAUUAAACGAUCUUCCGGCUAAAUGCUUUAUAUUUUAAGAAGAAGAAAAGUUUAAAACGCUGCAAGAAGAAAACUUUAAAACACUUCAGGAUGCACUUGUAAGCAAAUCUAAAUGUCAAACGUUUGAUAACACAUCUGUGAUUUUUUUCUAAAAUCCUUAAAUAUAUUAUAUUUAAUCUGAUAUUUCCACAUAAG